AUCUCCGUCUGCUCGGAAAGUGUUGAGACUGAUGCAGAAUCCACGUCAGAGCGAGGCCGGCCUGUCAUGUAAACAGGACAUCAGUGGAAGGAGGAGAGCAGAAGAUGUAACCAGGUAAGGAAACUGUGACACAUGGGGGAGAGAACACGGAGGCGAAGACAGAAGUCACACCUCUAACCUCUGGAAGACAAAAAGCCACCCAAGGCCUAAUUUACGAUGGGACUCGUGCAGUGCUUUCUGAUUUCAUGCUCGACCUUGAUGGCGCUCAGCUUUCCACCGAGAGAGGUGACCCAAUAUCACAUUAUAAACCGAAGGAGUUGUAAAAUGUGUCCUGCAGGUGAGUAUCAGAAGACGUGCACAGAGUGCGCGCCCUGUCCCGCAGGAAGUUACACCACGCGCCAGAACCGGGAAGACAGAUGCAGCAGCUGCUCUAGAGACUGCAGACCAAAUUUUCACCUGAAGGUGAUUCAGAACUGCACGGACAAGUCAGAUGUAAAGUGCGUGUGCGAGGAGGGUUACAUGUGCACGCAGGAGGUGCCUUUCUCGGCUAACUGUCGAUACUGCGAAAGGAUCCCGGAGACGGACACUGUUGAGGCUGCGACCAUCCUCUCAGAGAACCAUAGAAAAGAAACUCCCACAUCCUUCUCAGGACGCAACAGAGCUGCUGGGGAACUCUGCAAUUCACACAAGUGCGGCCCACAGUCUUUUCUGGCGACACAAAAUGACACAAAUUCCCAAACGGAUAAGAUGAAUGGUCUGCUUCCCUCCACGGUAACGUUUCUAUUUGCUGGGGCAUUUGUGGCUCUCGUGGUUCUGGGUUACAUUGGUCGACUUCAAAUCCAAUCCUGCUUCAAGAGGGCUGUUGCAGUGCUUAUGCUGUGUAAUAAGGGAGGUCGAAAAGCUCCUUGCAAGUUAAAGGAGUCAACUCAUCACUUCCCCCGAGACUCUUUCAGUGCGCAGCAGCAGCCGCUGCCCCUUCCUGCAGCCAAUCUGGGUCCAGUUCACGUCCAUAAUCCAGGAACGAUCAUCUUCAGUUUGCUGAGUCAGUUUACGGGUCAGGUUGGCCCGACCAUUGAAGACAGGAGUACAGCCGAGAGGGAGACAGGAGACGAGAGAGACUGUCCCGUGUUCCAGCCUGCACCUUCUCCCAGUAUUCACAUCUCCGAGGAGGAGAGGAGCCGAGAGAGCGACAGCAUUUUCUUCCCUUUUCAGGAACAAGGAAAGGACUGCCACAUUUCCAAAGAGGAAGUCCUGUGAGGCAUCUCUCAAAAAUGUAACACUGAUGGCUAGAUCUGCUGGAGGACAGGAAGGAAGGAAGGAAGCAGGGAACACUACAAUAACCUCAAUCGCUGUCUGGCAAACUGUGAAUCACAGUAUUCAGAGGAAAUAUUUUUACCUGCAGGUUCUGGGAAAACUUGUCUGUACACACCAGAAACCAAAGACAAACAGAAGAAGACAAACUAUGAGAUUGUUUUCCUUGUAGGAUACGCGAUGUAAUUAAAAGUUUAAAGCUCACUUUGUUCCGAAUAAACACAAGACUUUUAAGGUAAAUGUAUUUUUAAUAAAACGUUGGUAAAAAUGCAUGAGUUCACAUCUGACUCAGGACUAUAUACAGUAUCUACACAGACAUUGGACACGCAGUCAGAUCCCUGACUCCUUGGGCAAGACCAGCCAUUCUCUUUUUAAGUGGCCUCCGUGGGAUAAUAUAUUAGUCUUAAACAUUUGGCUGCUCUGCAGCAACAGAUCUGGAAUAAACUCUCACAACGUGACCGAUGAAAGAAAGAGAAAGAAAUCCAUUUUUUCCAUCUCCACCUCAGCAGAGUCAGAUUUCCCUGAGUGCGUUGAACCCUGGGAGGGAGUCUCUCGCGUUGGUGGUCACGUCUGUGGACUCCACAGUCCAGACAGUCUCACCGGUGGUUUCCACAGCGAUGACGGCGUCAGGUGUCGAACCAUCCCGAUGCUGAGCAACAGAACCCCACGGUUCCAACCUCGUGCACAGCAGUUCUCCUGCUCUGCUCCAUAUUUACAGUGUCUCUCCUAUGUUUUUGUCCACUCGCUCUUCUGGAAAUCAGGUUUCCAACUUCUUGUUCACAGUUCUUGCUGCCUCCAGCUGUUUGGAUUAGGACACACUUGCGGCCAGAUGUCCAUGAGUGAUGCCAAAGGUGCAUCUUUGUAAUCCAGCUCAAGGAUCUAUUUCGAUUUUAGCAAAAUUCCCAGCUUCCUGCACAGGCUUUGUUACUUCCUCAUCAUCGGAGCACGGUGACACCGGCUCAUGUGUUUUAGCCAACAGGUAACCUGGGGGCAGGUUGACAGAAACUUGCAUCACUUAUCUCCCGUACACUCCCAUCUAUACAUUUUGGCACAGUUAUGCUACAGAUCUACUCACCACAUUUGGAUGUGAUCCACUGCUGACCUGCUUUUUUUUUCAAGACAACACACACUGCAACUGUUAUCAACAGAAAAGCAGCCAUUUGCAUUAGCCACAGCGUAUCUGUAGACGUGUGCAAAAGAGAUAUUUUAGUAACGCGUAAACACCUUAAACACGUCUUUUUUAUGGCUGCACAGGAAGCGCAGCGCACUUUACCUUUGCUUGUUUCCACGGUGAUGACAGUGACAGGUGUUACAGGGGGUGGGGGUCUGGUGGUCGGCGACACCGGCCGACACUGCGUGCAGGGCCGGUCUGUGCAUUCAUAGCCCGGUUUACAUUUGCACACAGAGUCAUGGGUGGCGUUGCAGUGUGACUUGUACUCCAUGUUUGCUGGGGGGGGAGUGAAGGAACAGUUAAACAUUUCAUAAAUCAGAAACUGCGUCAGUUUCACUGAUACUACCUAGUAUAAGUCAUAAGUUACUGAUGACUGUGGAUGUGUGGACUUACUGAAAGCUUGAUUUCAUUUUGACCUAACGCUUCAUUACUUACAUGCGAUUGGAUGUGAAUUCAACAAACAAACUACACAUAUGAGCCCGCUGGACCCUGCAGGCAUCACAGAACAUUGGUUUCCAUUACCUGCAGAAAUGUUGCGCAACAACCACAUUGCAGUCUAUCCGUGUUAAAGCUUGUUUUCUUUCUUAGGUUCAUUUGGGGGGCAAAAAUUUAGCUAAUAUAGAGCUGAAUGGUCUGUGGUCUCACAUCGCAACUCUUGGAUAAUCUACCCAAGCUCGUAAUGUGGUCUGUGGCCUGGCCCCUCCAAAGAGAGAUACCGUUUAAUUUCAAGAGCAAGCGUGAAAUGUUUAUGUGGGCAAACCUUUUCCACAUGUUAGUUUCCAUGCUAGUUAAGUGAAGCCCCUGCUUCGACAUUGGCCGAAGGGAUUUUGACAGUUUUAACACCCACGUUAAUUCCUCCCAAUGUUUGCCUGACUCUAGAGCCGUUUGCAGACAGAAAUGGGCAAACCGCCACCAAGUUUUCUCGUAUUUGGUUCCCACGCUGACAUUUAAAAAAAAAAUUAAAAAAUAAAAACCAGACGAGGCUGUUUUUGGCUCGCCUGUCGUAGCACAGGAACCCAAGAAGCGGGCAUGACAUUUCUAUCUGCUGCUCUUUGCUCUGCUGUUGGGUUGGUUUCUUCUAACCUUUUUCUCUGUUUUUCUUUUACUUUUUCCACUGACUUGACUUCAACUUGCACCGCGGUCGUCUUGUUUUGACAGACCACUUUCAACCCUAGUCUCUACCCCCCCCCCCCCACCCUUUGAACGUAUCUCUUUCUCUCUGAGUGCUAACAAACCCUGACAAACAAAAUGGAAAAAUCCCCUUCAAUGCUUGAGCUGCAGGUUUCUUCAUCUACGAGCAAAGAUGAGUAACGAGACAAAGAUCGCCACGAUUUUGUGCACGACCUGGACAAGGUUGGGGGUCGUGCAGAGAGAAAUGACUGUCACGAUCAAAGACUAAAUCACCCCUCCAUGACACUAGCAAUGAGUCACAAUUAGGGAACUAAACUGACAGUGUGUGUCUGUGUGUGUCUCCUCUGUGGAUUCUAUAUUAGAGAUUAAUUAAAGCCUUGACACAAUCUUUCAAAUGUACACAAUUGAUAAUGUUACUGUAGGAUGUUGCUAACGCCUGCAGAAAAGCUGAAAGGACUCACAUGCACUGCAGCUUCCACAAAAGUCGCAGCUCCACUCCAUGUUGUACGUCUGAAUGUAGCGCUGAUCCUCGCACGGCUUGCACUUAGUCGGAGAGGAGGCAGUACAGUGCUGAACCACAUAGUGACCUGGGAACACACAUGAAUCCACAUUUGGCUUUUAGUUCAGCAUCAUAACCUUUGCAGUGCACGUUUGUGUUUGUGUGUCCGGUUCUGUGGGGGUGGGUUUGUGUGGCGGGUGUCGCCGUACCUGGCCGACACUUGUUACAGCAGCUUUGUUCACCAUGACUGCUGCGAUAUUGUGUUUCAUUGCACCCUAAGGAACGCAGCAAAGGUGCGAAACACAGGGUGCACGAGAAAGUGAUUGCAAGGUAGCAGAGCUGCUGCAUCUGAGGAGAGAACAGAGGGCGAAGACGAGAGAAUAAGGAGGGAAACCCGGCAGACACAAUAAAGGACUGUGGUGAUGAAGCUCAGUCACGUUUCUGCAGAAGUUCAAAAGAAACACACAAACGUGCGCUCGGGGUUUCUGCUGUAAUUUAACCCUUAAAAUAACCAAAGUAGACUUACAAUAAUUUACACAAUCAAUGUUCCACAUGACAGGACAUUUAUCUUACUAAUCAAAAUGGUUUCUUUGGUUCUGACCUACCAUGGACGAGGAGGCAGAAGAAGCUGUUUCCCGGGACCCACCGAGUGUGAGACUGAACAGGGGACCAGAAGUCUGUCAAGGGGACGAUUCAUAAAGUCUGAUUACUCAUAAUGAAAGACCCACAUUUAUGGUGGGUUUUUCUAAUCUCUCUGCUCUGUCCCCAUUCUCUGCCAGCCUCGACCCUCCGGCUCUUUGCAAAAACAUACCCUUUAUCUGCCUCCACCUUUUUUCCAUCAGGCAACGUCUCUUUCAUUUCAUCCAAAACUGAUUUUCUUUUGCAGUCAAGAACUUUGUCUGCCUCAGCUGGAGCUGCAGCUGUUCCCCUGUUGUGAUCUUGGUCAAUGAGUAAAAGCAGGACUUAGCAAUCAUUUCGGUCCAUGUUGAAGUUUUGGUCUGACAGAAGAUUCUGGGGAUAUGAUUUCGCUUUAAGAAAUGAUCUUGUCGCCGUGAUGCUGCAGUAAGCUUGAAUGAAAUGAGGU
rnacentral:lncRNA from 1 species